rnacentral:rRNA from 1 species
AAGCUUUGCUUCUCUUUGAGAGGCGGCGGACGGGUGAGUAAUGCCUAGGAAUCUGCCUGGUAGUGGGGGAUAACGUUCGGAAACGGACGCUAAUACCGCAUACGUCCUACGGGAGAAAGCAGGGGACCUUCGGGCCUUGCGCUAUCAGAUGAGCCUAGGUCGGAUUAGCUAGUUGGUGGGGUAAUGGCUCACCAAGGCUACGAUCCGUAACUGGUCUGAGAGGAUGAUCAGUCACACUGGAACUGAGACACGGUCCAGACUCCUACGGGAGGCAGCAGUGGGGAAUAUUGGACAAUGGGCGAAAGCCUGAUCCAACCAUGCCGCGUGUGUGAAGAAGGUCUUCGGAUUGUAAAGCACUUUAAGUUGGGAGGAAGGGUUGUAGAUUAAUACUCUGCAAUUUUGACGUUACCGACAGAAUAAGCACCGGCUAACUCUGUGCCAGCAGCCGCGGUAAUACAGAGGGUGCAAGCGUUAAUCGGAAUUACUGGGCGUAAAGCGCGCGUAGGUGGUUUGUUAAGUUGGAUGUGAAAUCCCCGGGCUCAACCUGGGAACUUGCAUUCAAAACUGACUGACUAGAGUAUGGUAGAGGGUGGUGGAAUUUCCUGUGUAGCGGUGAAAUGCGUAGAUUAUAGGAAAGGAACACCAGUGGCGAA